UGCAGGCAUGCGCGAGGGAUAAACUCAAGGUCGGUUAAUAGCCGGCAGCACGCUUCGACGUGUGGGUUCCUUGAGUCUCGGGGCCUGUUUUUUU
rnacentral:ncRNA from 1 species